CAAAAUUUUGCUUCUUGAGGUUUAGAUAAGAUAGGAUAGACUGGAGUAUGCUGCCGUAAGAAGCAACUCCAAAUCUUAGCGUUCUAACUUAAUAGUAAUUGAUUUUUCAUGCAAAGUCUGUAGGUCUACGUAACUCUCCAGGAACUUUGCGCUGCAUGCUGUGACACAAUUAUGUAGAAUGUUUCCACGUGCGGUUCUGCCAUCUCAGCACAAGGUUUCCUCAGUCUCCUGUGUUGGUCGCAGAAGAAGAUAACUGGGGCCACUACUGCCCACAGCCCACAGGUCAGAGCUAGUUACAUGGCCUUGCCUAACCACAAUGUUUGGUAAGCAUUGUCACUGCCGUAGUCCUCUCUCUGGUGCCAACACAACUUUGCUCUCCUGUUUCCAAAAGUAGGACUCACUUUGCAAGGGAGACGAUUUACAGCCACAUCAAAUCAUGGCUUUGAGCUUCAAUUUCAGGAUCUCUGAGUGAUCUCACAAUAGUCUCUAUGUCAGGUCUGUACAUGGCCAGUCCUGUUUCAGGGACAAGUAAACUAAGAAGACAGGUAAAAUGCAUCCCUCACCCGCAGUGUGCAGUGGUAGAACAGGAUCAAGACAAUGUGAGGAAACACUUCCACAGUGGUGAGGAAUGAGAGGGGCCCAGCAUUCAGGCCUGCAGCAACUCAGAAAUCUUGCCGAGCAAAUACUUUAUGGGCCUCCUAUUUUGGGGGUGGAAAAUGUUUCUGGUUUCAGAAUUCAUUCUACACUUUGUGGAGUUUCUGCCUCAAAAAUGUCAAGAUAGAAUAUACCUAAGCUUUUAUGUCUCACCUUGUAAAUACGCUCAUCCUGGUUUUGCUGUUCUUAAGUAAACAUCUUUCUAGGCACUUACAAAUGGUCUGAUUCUUUACUCUUUCAUUUUUUUCUCCUAGACUAUCAGCCUGUGAAUCAACUCAAUCAUGACUUGAAUUUCUAGGGUAGUACAUAAUUUUAGUUUUAAUUUAAAUCAUUGCAAAAUUCCCUGAGGAUCAGUGUUUUUAAAAACAAUUCAAAGAUUUGGCUUAGCUGGGUUAAGGGUCAUCAGUGUGACCCAAGCUGAUAUUGACUAUGGUCUGUAAUGAUGACUCAGAAAAGAAAAAUCCCCCUCGUGAAGCUUACUGAAAAUUUCCAUGAUGUCAGGGGCCACAAGGCUGUAAGCUUUUGGAGGGUGUCAUAGUUUCUUAGACCUCUUACACAUUAUCCUGUCUUAGCUCUUUUAGUAUUCUACCUCCUUCCUUUUCCUUUCUCCAUUCUUUCCUUUUGAAGAUUCAUUCAGCAAUUACUAAGUGCUCACCCUGUCUUCUCUACCAGGGAUUCCAGCAGCACUUUGCUAUGGUCUAUGGUCACCACCACCAUCACUGGAAUCAUCAUCACCAUCACUACCAUCCUCACCAUGACUGAGUGUGUGUCGUAUGCUGCACUCAGCGCUAGACACUUGAAAUGCAGUGUUUUGAAACCCAACUACAAUAUUUUAAGGUGAGAAGUGAUGCAGCUGUCCUAUUUAACAGAUGAAGAAAGAGAUUCAGAAUUUAAGUUAAAUUUCCCACUUCAUACGGCUGAAAUGUGGCAGAGCAAGAUUACAGCCUACGUCUGCCUUACUUCUAGUCCAUCCUGUUUCCACCUUACCUCACUUCUUUAGCAUGGCCUGGAAAGAAUUGUGUACUUCUUCAUUAAAUGUAUCUUUGUUUUAUAUUCUUUUGACUAUUCACACAUGCUGAUUGCUAUACUUUGGGCUUCAGGGGAGUAUUUAUUACCUGUUUUGAAAGAAGGCCCUUUAAAGAUGAUUUUAAACAUUUUUCAAGUAAAUGCAAUAGCUCUUGUUUA
rnacentral:lncRNA from 1 species